AUUGAACGCUGGCGGCAGGCCUAACACAUGCAAGUCGAACGGUAACAGGAAGCAGCUUGCUGCUUUGCUGACGAGUGGCGGACGGGGGAGUAAUGUCUGGGAAACUGCCCGCUGUAGGGGGAUAACUACUGGAAACGGUAGCUAAUACCGCAUAACGUCGCCAUACCAAAGAGGGGGACCUUAGGGCCUCUUGCCAUCGGAUGAGCCCAGAUGGGAUUAGCUAGUAGGUGGGGUAACGGCUCACCUAGGCGCCGAUCCCCAGCUGGUCUGAGAGGAUGACCAGCCACACUGGAACUGAGACACGGUCCAGACUCCUACGGGAGGCAGCAGUGGGGAAUACUGCACAAUGGGCGCAAGCCUGAUGCAGCCAUGCCGCGUGUAUGAAGAAGGCCUUCGGGUUGUAAAGUACUUUCAGCGGGGAGGAAGGGAGUAAAGUUAAUACCUUUGCUCAUUGACGUUACCCGCAGAAGAAGCACCGGCUAACUCCGUG
rnacentral:rRNA from 1 species